AGUGAACGCUGGCGGUAGGCCUAACACAUGCAAGUCGAACGGCAGCACAGUAAGAGCUUGCUCUUACGGGUGGCGAGUGGCGGACGGGUGAGGAAUACAUCGGAAUCUACUUUUUCGUGGGGGAUAACGUAGGGACACUUACGCUAAUACCGCAUACGACCUACGGGUGAAAGCAGGAGAUCUUCGGACCUUGCGCGAUUGAAUGAGCCGAUGUCGGAUUAGCUAGUUGGCGGGGUAAAGGCCCACCAAGGCGACGAUCCGUAGCUGGUCUGAGAGGAUGAUCAGCCACACUGGAACUGAGACACGGUCCAGACUCCUACGGGAGGCAGCAGUGGGGAAUAUUGGACAAUGGGCGCAAGCCUGAUCCAGCCAUACCGCGUGAGUGAAGAAGGCCUUCGGGUUGUAAAGCCCUUUUGUUGGGAAAGAAAAGCAGCAUGUUAAUACCCCGCUGUUCUGACGGUACCCAAAGAAUAAGCACCGGCUAACUUCGUG
rnacentral:rRNA from 1 species